rnacentral:tRNA from 1 species
GCUUAGCUCAGCUGGUUUAGAGCAUCUGCCUUACAAGCAGAGGGUCGGCGGUUCGAAUCCGUCA